rnacentral:rRNA from 1 species
CCUACGGGAGGCAGCAGUGAGGAAUAUUGGUCAAUGGGCGCGAGCCUGAACCAGCCAAGUAGCGUGAAGGAUGACUGCCCUACGGGUUGUAAACCUCUUUUAUCAAGGAGUAAAGUGAGGCACGUGUGCCUCUUUGUAUGUACUCUAAGAAUAAGGAUCGGCUAACUCCGUGCCAGCAGCCGCGGUAAUACGGAGGAUCCGAGCGUUAUCCGGAUUUAUUGGGUUUAAAGGGAGCGUAGAUGGGUUGUUAAGUCAGUUGUGAAAGUUUGCGGCUCAACCGUAAAAUUGCAAUUGAUACUGGCAGUCUUGAGUACAGUUGAGGUAGGCGGAAUGCGUGGUGUAGCGGUGAAAUGCUUAGAUAUCACGAAGAACUCCGAUUGCGAAGGCAGCUUACUAGACUGCCACUGACAUUGAUGCACGAAAGCGUGGGUAUCGAACAGGAUUAGAUACCCCGGUAGUC